UACGUACUGUGCGAACGUUAUUCGGAAUCACUGGGCUUAAAGGGUGCGUAGGCGGCCCGAGAGGUCCUGGGUGAAAGGCCCCGGCUCAACCGGGGAGGGCCCCAGGAAACCGGCGGGCUAGAGGGCUGGAGAGGGCCGCGGAAUUCCCGGUGUAGCGGUGAAAUGCGUAGAUAUCGGGAAGAACACCAGUGGCGAAGGCGGCGGCCUGGACAGAACCUGACGCUGAGGCACGAAAGCUGGGGGAGCGAACAGG
rnacentral:rRNA from 1 species